AACGAACGCUGGCGGCAGGCCUAACACAUGCAAGCCGAACGCUCCGCAAGGGGGAGUGGCGCACGGGUGAGUAACACGUGGGAACCUACCUUCUGGUACGGAACAACCAAGGGAAACUUUGGCUAAGACCGUAUACGACCUCCGGGUGAAAGAUUGAUCGCCGGAAGAGGGGCCCGCGUCCGAUUAGGUAGUUGGUGAGGUAACGGCUCACCAAGCCUUCGAUCGGUAGCUGGUCUGAGAGGAUGACCAGCCACACUGGGACUGAGACACGGCCCAGACUCCUACGGGAGGCAGCAGUGGGGAAUCUUGCGCAAUGGGCGAAAGCCUGACGCAGCGACGCCGCGUGCAGGAUGAAGGCCUUC
rnacentral:rRNA from 1 species